GGCUCUGUUUGUAUUUUUCCUUUAGGUGACGUCACCACGUCUGUGCGGUCACGCGACGCGACGACGUGACAGGUGGCGUGCCCCGCGUGUGGGCGGGACGGAGCGUGCGCAGUGCGGCGGGGCUCGCUCCCCGCGUCCCCUCCCCCUCCAUGCAGCGCUGAGGAGACGGGCGGCGGAGCGGAGCAGGGGAGGCCCGGGGCCUAGCGGAGCGGGCUGGAGCGGCGGCCCCGGCGCCAUGGAGGGGAUGGACGUGGACCUGGACGCCGAGCUGAUGCAGAAGUUCAGCUGCCUGGGCACCACCGACAAGGACGUGCUGAUCGGCGAGUUCCAGCGGCUGCUGGGCUUCCAGCUGAGCCCGGCCGGCUGCGCCUUCUUCCUGGACAUGACCAACUGGAACCUACAAGCAGCCAUUGGAGCCUACUAUGACUUUGAGAGUCCGAACAUCAAUGUGCCCUCCAUGUCCUUCGUUGAAGAUGUUACCAUAGGAGAAGGGGAGUCCAUCCCUCCUGAUACCCAGUUUACAAAAACAUGGAGAAUACAAAAUACAGGGACAGAGGCAUGGCCCCCAGGGGUUUGUCUUAAGUACGUCGGGGGAGACCAGUUUGGCCAUGUAAACAUGGUGAUGGUCAGAUCGCUAGAGCCCCAGGAGAUUGCAGAUGUCAGCGUUCAGAUGUGCAGCCCCAGCACAGCGGGAAUGUAUCAGGGACAGUGGCGCAUGUGCACUGCUACAGGACUCUAUUAUGGAGAUGUCAUCUGGGUGAUCCUCAGCGUGGAGGUUGGAGGACUUUUAGGAGUAACGCAGCAGCUGUCAUCCUUCGAAACGGAAUUCAACACACAACCACAUCGCAAGGUAGAAGGAAACUUUAACCCCUUCGCCUCUCCGCAGAAGAACAGGCAACCAGAUGAAAACAACCUAAAAGACCCUGGGGGUUCUGAGCUAGGCACAAUCAGCAAAAACACGUGGGGGCCUGCUCCUGACCAAAUUGAACAAGAUCAGAAUGGACUGUCACAAAACUCUGUAAAUCUCUCCCCCAGCAGUCACUCGAACAACUUGUCGGUAGUGACGUACAGUAAGGUAGGUGCCCUGGGAGAACAGGAGAAUGGGUAGGUGACAAGACCAUGGUGUGUAUUGUGAUAGUCCUUCGUUACAAACUGUGAAGCCCUCCCUUCUGCCUCCGCCUGACCUACUAAGGAAGGGUUUGAAUAUAAGACCGUCUAACUCUGCCAGCUCCUCACCUUAUAUUAAACAAAACAAAAUAAAACACCCCUUUCCUCCGAUAGAUUCUACUAGGUCCACAUUUUAAAAAACCUCCUUGAUGUUAACCUACUCUUGGCUGGGUGCUGUAACUGAUAGUGGUUGGAGCCCUCUCCAACCUCCAAUAUGUUUAAGAAAAAAAAGCCACAAUAUCUUCAGACUCAAAUAUAGGUGAUUUAAAAAAAAAAAUUACCUACACAUCUUGGGAUUCGUCCAAAGAAUUCUUUUGCUGUAAUAAAUGGGCAGGGGGAUGCCUUGUUCAACAUUUUGGUCUCAGGAGCCACUGUUCAGGAAUAGUCAGUCCUUGGACCAUUCCUGUUUGUGAUCUUUUCUUGUCUCUAUAAUCAUGUUUUAAAAUCUCCUUAAGCUUGCUUGAUGGAUGCUAUACAAAUAAGUUUGAGUGAUAUUUUAACUUUUUUUUAGAUGCUUGUGUGUACAAAUACGUGAAAAAUGAAUUACAGGAUUAUUUACACUUCAGAAUCCUAUUAUUGCAAGAGGCAUGUCUAGUUUACUUAAAUGAGUCAAAAGAACUCAGGAUAGUUUGGAGAAGCACUGACCAGGAACGGCCCAGGAAGUGAUGAGGAAGAGAGAGGGACUUGUAGUGUUAUCUGAUGCUGCCAUCAGUGUACACUGGGAGACUUUUGUGUUGCUUUGCAGCCGUGCAUCAAAAAGUUUGUCUUUUUUUUUUUUUUAAACUCAAGUGUACCUUUUAUUGAUCUAAAUUCAGCCACAAACAAAGGUGAAAUAAAGAUAGUUGUGUGAAAGUUUCUGUGUUUUGAUGGUUUAUAAAAUAUUAAUUCCCUGAGAUGAAAGAGGGAUUUUGAUUUAACUUUAAAAAUGCCUGCUUUUACAAUUAUCAUGCCGUUCUGAGUAAUCACUGUACCCUUUCCUUCUUCACAACCCCUAUUUUAGUUUCACAGGUGGAAUGUAUUUAGGGUCCCAGCUGGGCUCAUUUGACUUCUUAUAUCUCGCAAAGGUGGCUGCCCUAGUUUAGGUGCAUGGAUCAAAAUGCAGACUUUUGUGGGUGCUGAGCACUUCUCAGUGGGGCUAGGUUUCCAAAAGCGCUGAUCUCCAAUUUAGGUCCCUAAAUAUAGUGGUCAGAUAUUCAGUAUGGGAGCUGCAUUUUGUUUUAAAUCUGGCCCUUAGAUUUCAUUAUUCACUUCAUUUACCUAAAUAUCUGGACAAAGGUAUUUCAUCGCAGUGUUACUAACUUUUACCUCUUGGGGGAGACAGGAAAAAGAAUUGAAAACUAAAUUUGCAAAGCAGAACGUGAGCUUGUCACAUUUUGUUUUCAAGAUGUGUCCCAUUUUGCAAGCAAGAGUCAAAGUCUUUUCAGCUGAAAUGUUUCAAAAUUUUUUUGCAAAUGUACAGGAAAUAUCGGAUUUCUUUUUGCGUGUUUCUGGUGGGAAAAUUGUCUAUUUGUGAAAGUGUGAUGGAAAACAAAAUGAGUAGCAAAAUGAACGCUCACUAACUGAAAAUGUUCGCACCAUGUUUCUCAAAAUCAUGGCUUUCACACAGCUGUUAACUUUUAGUUUAAACCAAUUACUUCCAACAUUUUUUGGUGCUGUGACUCUUUUGAAUCACUGCUGCUAUUUGUUUUAUACUAGUUUCUAGAGUUCCCAGUAGAGAUCAAGGCACUAUUACACUAUAUUCUUGUGAAAACAUAUACAGUCCCUGCCCCAAAGAGCUUACCAUAUGAAUAGAUUAGCUAAAGGGUAGAAGUAAGGCAACAGAUGGAGAAUUGAGGCACAGAAUGCUUGAGUGGUCUAGAGAUCAUGGCAAAGGAGUGUGGCAGAGCCAGGGAUUUGACUCAGAUCUAAGUCCUGGUGUAUUAUCCUUUCUCCCUACUCAAACACUGGUUGACUUAAUGAAAAAAUCAAAGCCUUUCUAUGCGUCCACAGGUUGACUUUUAAAUAUCGUCUGCAUCAAAUUUAGUAGUUCCUUUCGCUGGAAACAUUGACGUGAAAUAAUAUAAAAGAUGCAAAAGACCUAUUAAGUCAGGUCAUUCUCUGCAGAUGUGGGAUACAUUCCUUAUCGGGGGUUUAUAUCCGAUGUUAAACCAGUACUUCGCUUGAUCUUAGCCAAAAGGGCAAGAUGCAACAGUGGGAACUAGUGAAUAAACUGCUUGGGGAGCGGGGAGAGUUUUCUUCUUUGAAUCAUUAAUAGCGGCAGGUGAGUUCAUAUAUAAAAGUACCCUUCACAGGUAAGUAUGAGCUAUAGUGAAGGGCCGUGUGUACGCUCAGGGUUCUGUUAUGGUAAUCAUAAGAGCAAAGAUUGUUAAUUCUUCUGGUCAAAUUUGCAGUUGCAAGAGAAACCCAUUUGGAAACCAUUCUGGAACUGUUAAUGACUGAGUCAUUUCACAGAUGUGAAUACAGUUUAUCAGGGUUAAAGUGCUGUAAAAGUAGGGUGGUUUUCUCACACUCUAAAGUGAACUGAAAUCUAGUUUUGAUUGAGACCCCAAAUCAUUAACAGAAUUGUGUAUAUUUAAAUUAGACACAGCUGAAAGCAAGAUUUGACCUCUUUUCUUUACAUUGGAAGAUCCAAGGACAGAGUUCUUUCUCUUGCAACAGUUUAUACAUUUACUAAUCUCUUUAGGGACUGUGUGCUUACCAGGGGAUGUGCUAUUAGGCUGUAUCCAUUUCUGACUGCUGUUAUUUCCAGGUAUUACAGGGAGCUGUGCUUUACUUACACUACUUUAGGUGUUAAUAUUGCUGUUUGGCGUGGACAACACUGAGAUCUUGGCAGCCGAAAGCUUUUCAGUUCAGUUUUUGAAUGCAUCUUUAUCAAAUGAGCUGCAGCAGUCCGCUCCUACGUUAUAGCACAAGUGGCCUUGUUUGCCAACACACAAAGAAGAUGUUGGUUGCAGGGCUCAUUUGAAAAUCAGGCCCUUACAGACUAAUCUGAAGUUGAGAUACUGCUCUUGCCUAAUGUUCCACUAACCAUUCUCCCCUGAUAGAUGCUGGACUCAGCAAUAGUUUUGAGUCACUGGAAGAUACUUUGCUUUAUGGGUGUCACGUGUUGCUCCUUGACACUGCAUAACCCAGGGAAUUACUCUUGCCUGGUUAAUUGUGGUUAAACUCCUAUCAGCACUAGAUCAUUAAAAACUAACUACAACACAGAAAGUAAGAUACAAUGGGGCUUUUGACUUCAGGUGUUUACAGCUUGACCCAGCCCAUCCUACCAGACUUAUGCCAAUAUAAUCAGGGCUUUUUGGUAUGAGUCAUAUAAAAACAUCUCAGUGCUUCACAGCCAAUUCCAGUACUUAUGGGUCACAGAGCAAGCUGGUUAUGGAGUUACAGCAAAAUUCUUAUUGUUGGAGACAAUAUUUCUUUCGCUGCUCUGGCCCAUUGUCCUGCUUGAAACGAAGUAGUAAAGCAGUCUUACACCUUGCUUGAAAAGGCAGGCAAUGGGGUUGGUGUUUAAUUAGGUCACUGGCUGUCUUUUUACAUCAUCCACACAAUGGGUAACAGCAGGGCUGUAUAAAGAAUGCCAGAAGAUCUACCUUCUGUCUCUGGGUAACUGAGCAUAAUGCAUUUUUUCUUAUUUUUCCUUGGCUUUGUUUCAUGUUCCUUUAAAUUUAAAAAAAAAAGGGGGGGGGGUUUAAUUGGUGCAGCUAUUUCAGUAAAUUGUGCACCUCUGAUUUAUAGAGCAGUCUCAACACUGAGUCUUUCUUUUGAUGUAUGAUAAAAUGCGUCAAAGUUGGCUUGAUUAGAGCAUGGGAAAUUGAGAACUAGUGUCCCUGUUAGUUUCAGACCUCCUGCUGCUAGAUCUGGCACCUUAAAUAACUUCAUUUCAGGGUUCAUGAGGAAAACACAGGCUAUUAAACGUUCCCCUUUUUUGGAGGCAGCUGGUUUCCAUUGAAGAAAAAUGUGUAUUCUAGAAAUGUCAAGUCUCAUAGUCUUGAGGGAAUUAAAUUGUAAGAGGAAAAGCUUCCUCAUAGCAGGUGGGAGGCAGAGGCAGUGGGGCGUGUUCAUAGAGGGAGAUAAAGGCCAUAUGUACAUUGGGAAUUUGCCCUGUUUUCAGACACUGGCCUAGCUUGUGCCACUGCAAUACCCUAGUAUAGACUAGGGAAAUGAUGAAUUGCACUGGUGCAGCUUUACCCUGGUUUCAAGCAGAGGGAAGCCACGUGGGCACAAAUGGGGCUUACGGUGGCUUAUCCUGUGUACACUAGAGGUUUGGACUUGGCAGUUUCACCAGUAACUGAAAUCCCCAGUAUAGAGAAGGCCAAAAAGUGGCCUUCAGCAGAAGAGCAUGCCGUCAUGUUAACUGACUAUUGUCAGGGCUAAAUGACGGGGUGGAGGUGAGUGGCUGGAAGCAUGUGUAAUGCUGCCCUGUGGGUUCAUCUGUGGGGGCUGAAUGGGAGACCAUUGGAUCUUAAAAGCAGGACCAUUCGCUUAAAGGCAGUAAGUAGCUGACUCAAACAUCUAUAUCUGAUCUAGCUGCUAGAGGGAGACAGAGGUGGAGUAUUAGCAUUGAUUACACAUGGAUGUGGAGUAGGUGGGCAGUUGAUGUGGGAUGAAGAAUGCAGGAGGUAAAUAAAUCCAAGCAGUGGGGUAGGGUGUAGAGGGUAGGUAUGCUUUUUGCAAGCUGGUGCUGAUCAGCUGGUUUAGUCUGUCUAUUGAAACUGAUUUUGUCUCCAACUUUCUUUCAGGGUUUCCACGGUCCUUAUCCCUUUGGACAGUCUUAAAAACAAACAAA